rnacentral:tRNA from 3 species
GGCGGUUACGCCAACCGGCUGUUGGCAACGGUCUGCAAAACCGUGAACGGUGGGUUCGACCCCCACAACCGCCU